CCUACGGGAGGCUGCAGUCGAGAAUCAUUCACAAUGGGGGAAACCCUGAUGGUGCGACGCCGCGUGGGGGAAUGAAGGUCUUCGGAUUGUAAACCCCUGUCAUGUGGGAGCAAAUUAAAAAGAUAGUACCACAAGAGGAAGAGACGGCUAACUCUGUGCAAGCAGCCGCGGUAAUACAGAGGUCUCAAGCGUUGUUCGGAAUCACUGGGCGGAAAGCGUGCGUAGGCUGUUUCGUAAGUCGUGUGUGAAAGGCGCGGGCUCAACCCGCGGACGGCACAUGAUACUGCGAGACUAGAGUAAUGGAGGGGGAACCGGAAUUCUCGGUGUAGCAGUGAAAUGCGUAGAUAUCGAGAGGAACACUCGUGGCGAAGGCGGGUUCCUGGACAUUAACUGACGCUGAGGCACGAAGGCCAGGGGAGCGAAAGGGAUUAGAUACCCGAGUAGUC
rnacentral:rRNA from 1 species